CCACAAAGAAGCAGCACCGGAUGAUGAUGAGGAGCUAAUGAUGUUAGAAUGGAAUCAGCAGGGAGCAGAAAACCUGAUGUACAGAAUCCUGAUGCUGAUCGCUCACAGCUUUGUGAACAACAUGUAAAAACAGAGAUGUUUACAGACUCGGGUGGACAAACAUUAAACCCUGUGGAGCACAUCAACCCUGUGGA